CAUAGUUGAAGCUCCAUUAUCUGAAGGUGUGGUGGGACCAAUAUUGCAACUGCAUGAGACAUGUGUUUUGGCAAUAGAUCAUCAUGGAUGACUUAAUUAACUAAGUACGUACGUAAUUGUAUUGUACCCAUAAGUUUUUGAGUAAUUAUUAUAGGCGUUUUCCAAGUUGAUAAGCUGCAGAAUAUGAAUUGGAGCUAGCUAUAGAUAUCUGUUUUGUCAACACUUUUGUGGUUUUCUCUUUCGUACGUCAACCUUGUAAGGCAUAAACCAUGCAUUUCUUAGAAAAGUAUAAACAAAAUAUAAUGGGAAAUAUUUGGUUCGGUAAGAACAAGGGAUUUCACCCUAUAAACGACGACAGACAAAGAAAAACGACAACAAAUAAUAGUAGUGUGACAAUUAAGGUGCGUAUGAGGGCAACAGAGUUUAGGGAGCUGGUGGCUCAGGUGGAUAUGGAUUUAACCAAAACUAAUAACGCUAAUUCAGAGCUUGGCUGGUUGAUCCUUCAACACUGUCUUCAAGGUAAGAAUCGUUCUCCAAUGGACGUCGAUCGUUGCCGUUUAUCGCAAACGACAAUAGAUUAUCGUCGUCUAAGCACCAUUUGUGAAGAAGAAGAAGAAAAAAAAAAUAAGUAGUGAUUUUUUUUUCUUAAUUAAUUUAUGUAUUGUUAUUAUUGGGAAUUAACAAACGCAUAUAUGGUCAUGAUGGAACCUAUAUUAUUACAUAAUAUUUGAGAGACAAAAUAGAUCAAUUUAAUAUAAACAAGUAUAUAUAUGAUAUUGAAGACGUUAUUUAAUUUUUAUUUUGGUUGUAUUUUUUUAGGUUUGUCAUUAAACAUGAGUUUUUAGUUAAUAUUCAAUCUUAUACACACAAGUUUUCUUUUUUUUUUUUUUUCUUUUUUUUUUGGGGGGGGAUUAGUAGUAAUAAAUAGCCGUUGAAGAAAAUUGGGUAAAUUCCUGGAGCGGUUUAUUGUUGAUAUGCCAAAUUAAUAACUAUUGAUUUAAUAAAGCUAGCGUUGCUAGAAAUUUAUAUUA